GCAGCACAGGAGAGCUUGCUCUCUGGGUGGCGAGUGGCGGACGGGUGAGGAAUACAUCGGAAUCUACUCUGUCGUGGGGGAUAACGUAGGGAAACUUACGCUAAUACCGCAUACGACCUACGGGUGAAAGCAGGGGAUCUUCGGACCUUGCGCGAUUGAAUGAGCCGAUGUCGGAUUAGCUAGUUGGCGGGGUAAAGGCCCACCAAGGCGACGAUCCGUAGCUGGUCUGAGAGGAUGAUCAGCCACACUGGAACUGAGACACGGUCCAGACUCCUACGGGAGGCAGCAGUGGGGAAUAUUGGACAAUGGGCGCAAGCCUGAUCCAGCCAUACCGCGUGGGUGAAGAAGGCCUUCGGGUUGUAAAGCCCUUUUGUUGGGAAAGAAAUCCAGCUGGCUAAUACGGUUGGGAUGACGGUACCCAAAGAAUAAGCACCGGCUAACUUCGUGCCAGCAGCCGCGGUAAUACGAAGGGUGCAAGCGUUACUCGGAAUUACUGGGCGUAAAGCGUGCGUAGGUGGUCGUUUAAGUCCGUUGUGAAAGCCCUGGGCUCAACCUGGGAACUGCAGUGGAUACUGGGCGACUAGAGUGUGGUAGAGGGUAGCGGAAUUCCUGGUGUAGCAGUGAAAUGCGUAGAGAUCAGGAGGAACAUCCAUGG
rnacentral:rRNA from 1 species